AAUGGAUUUAAAUGAUCCCAGACAAUUGUUGGCAGAAAUCUUGUAGCCCAAACAGAAUGAUGUAACGAGAACAGAGCCAAGACAAGAGUCACCAAGAAAUAUUCCAUCACUUUGGGAUUAAAGUCGAUCAAGGUUCUUGUACACGUUGAAGCAAAUUCAAGUAAAUUUGCUUUGAAGCAGCUGGAGCUUGUAAACGCGUAUAUUAAACCACGGCGGUAUAUAAUAAUGUGGUCCUCACGUAUUAUAACAAGUAGAUGCUUGUUUGAAUUUCCUAUUUCGGUACCGUAUUAAUUCUUCAGUUAGUCUAAUACUGGAUAGCUUUGACAGAGUGGCAAAUCUCAUUUAAGUCUUUUGUGUCGGAAUAUAAAAUAUGCUUCUUAGUCGGUUCUAGCGCGUGUUGUGUCA